GACGAAUAUGCUACUGAGGAUGAUGAGUACGAGGAGAACCUGAAAAAGGAGAGCUUGGCUUUGUUCUUCUUGGCUACGUAUGGAGAUGGUGAGCCUACUGAUAAUGCUGCCCGGUUCUACAAAUGGUUUACAGAGGGGAAAGAGAGAGGAAUCUGGUUGGAAAAUAUUCAAUUUGGUGUGUUUGGUUUGGGCAAUCGACAAUAUGAACAUUUUAAUAAGGUUGCUGUGGUGGUCGAUGAACUACUUCAU